GACAGAGGCCUCAAGCGUUAGGCGGAAUCACUGGGCUUAAAGCGUGUGUAGGCGGGUCGUUAAGUGUCUUGUGAAAUCCCACGGCUCACCCGUGGAACUGCUGGGCAUACUGGCGAUCUUGGGCCAACUAGGGGCAGCCGGAACAAGCGGUGGAGCGGUGAAAUGCGUAGAUAUCGCUUGGAACGCCGAAGGUGAAAACAGGCUGACUGGGGUUGUGCCGACGCUGAGACACGAAGCCAGGGAGCAAACGGGAAUAGACGGUACCGAGUAAGUCCGACGACAAUCCCUCUGCUACGUAAC
rnacentral:rRNA from 1 species